rnacentral:rRNA from 1 species
GGGUCAGUAGGUUGGUCGUGCCACCGGUACGUACUGGUCUCACUGAUUCCUCCUUCCUGAAUAACUGUAAUGCCAUUAAUUUGGUGUUGCGGGGAAACAGGACUGUUACUUUGAAAAAAUUAGAGUGUUUAAAGCAAGCUAACGCUUGAAUACAUUAGCAUGGAAUAAUGAAAUAGGACGAUCGAUCCUAUUUUGUUGGUUUCUAGGAUUGACGUA